CAGCAACUCACAGUAUUAUAAUCACCCUUCUUUUCUUUGAAGUCCACACUUUGAAUACUCUAUUCCUCCCAUACUCUAGUCAUGAAUUAAAGGAGUCUUUAAACUACUGUCCAUCUCCAUAGCUGUAACAGAAAGACUUUUCAGCAACAAGCAUCUCCUUUUUCUCUCUUUCUUAUUUAAACUUAACUCUUUUCUUCACUGUUUUUAGUAGUUUUAUGAUGUCUUUUGCAUGUUGAUUGCCUCUCUUCCUCUGUCUUUCUAGCAAAAAAGAGUAAUCUGUACAUUUAUCAGGUAGUAAAAAAAAUUAAAGCCUUAGAAAAGCUGCAAGAGUUCAUAGUGUCAGGUUUCAGUCUAGCAGCAGACCUUGAAAACUAAACUAAGCUGCCAAGCUCUGCUUUUCUCUCCUUCCCCCCCCUCCCUGCGGCCUUGUCCCGGGCCUGGGAGGGGGGAGAAAGCCAAGACAGAGCUUGUUACCUCUCAAAAGGCGGAAACCAAAAAGAGCGAGAGAGCUCUGAGUGUACUUCUUACGGGGGUGUUUACAAGUUGAAUUCACUUUUUAAUGGUCAGAUCUGCUGUCAAUUCUUGGAAAUGGCUGAUAAUUGGUCAGGAAGAAAAACUCCCAUCAGUCACCAGUAGCUUCAACUUCCCCUUUUUUUACUCGGUCUUAAAGGUGAAGCUAACCCCUGACAUUGACCUUUCUAGGAAUAAAGCCUUAGAAGAAAAUCGAGCCAGCUGGAGAGAGAGCAUAAUCUUUCUAGCCAAAGACUUAAAGGAGUGAGGACAAAAGACUAAUCUUUCUGCUGAAGAACUCCCUUUUUGCCAGACCUACAGAGAGUUUUCUCUGCUAUUCCUGCCCUCAAUCAGGAGGUCAACGUAGCUGUGACCCUGUGCAUGCUGAGCUGGUCUCCUGCAGAUUUAAAUAAAACACCCCAAAGGAAAUUCUGAAGUGGAGCUACAGACCACAGGUGAUUCUUCCUUUUUAAAGUUAGUAUUUAGGAGCUGGUGAGUGAGAUAAUCACAGAUCAGCCCUUGAACACAAGCCCUCACGCUGUUGUGUGGAUGAGUCAUGAUUUGCAUCCCAGUGUGAGAAAAAUGAUCCAAAUUACAUAACCAGCAAGAAAUCAAAAGGGGAAAAAGAUGGAUGAAAGGAGAUUCAAAUCUACAGAUUUGUGAACUUAAUAGCGUAAUUUACUGUCUCAGUUGGGAAGCAGUGCUUUGGAAAAGAAGGAGUGAACAGAAUUGUCCUGAUUUUGUGGAGCAGUGGAUCAGACCUGUGAGCUGUCAUCUUCCCUGAUGUGUGCAAGAACCAGAUGCUGCAGGAGAAUGAAUAAAUCCUCCUGUCCCCAUUCAGCAGAUGUGCAACAUCUCCCCAUGGAGGUCUCAUUGUAAUCCCAAAGGAUUUGGAUUAAACCAUUAAGUACAGGGUUCAUUUCAUUUUCUUUUAUAAAUCUCUGGUAGUUUAUAGUUACAAAUCUCUGGUAGUUUCAGGAUCUGUCUGAAUAUUUCUUCUCCAAAUAAACCCACAGUUUCCAUUAAAACUUCUCCAAUUCUGACUAUCUCUUUAGUGAAGACCAC